rnacentral:misc_RNA from 1 species
GCCAAGGAAACAUGUCAAUUACGAAUCGACGAGCGGAACAAAUGGUGCGCGCUCGUGUCUAUAGAAAUCACCUGAAUUAACCGUACAAUAAUGUACGAAGAGACCGGAGCAUCGAGUCCGGUCCCACGAAAAGGGGAACAACGUCGCGAUAUAUAUACGUGGGAAUACCUCUUCGGAAAGAGCUCAUCAUCGUCAGCAAUCAGCGAUUGCCGCGUGCAGCUGCACCAUCAUCGGAAAUAAACGAAAGUAAGUCGAAUAGGAAGAUCUCUCGGUUCGAUGGUGAGAGAAGAGGUGGGAGGCGCGUUGAGGACAGGCCCUAAAGAGCGCAGUACGCGCAGCUUCCGUGCGCAUCUUCCCUGUGUGAGUGAUAAUAGCGGUGAUGGAAACGACGUGGACGUUUACGACGGCAGCGACGGAGGUGCAACUGCUGUUUUGCAAUACGAGUGCGUCGUGAUAAUGACACGAGGCAUACAAAUGAGGCACAGAUACAUCUAACUCAUGA